CUAAUAGCGUAUACUAAAAUUGCUGCAGUUAAAAAGUUCGUAGUCUGACCUCGAGGUCUAUGGGGUUCCGGUCCACCCCUGACGGGGCGCGCACCGACCUCAUAGCCUCUCGUCUUCCAGCUGUUGCUCCCUGCUCUUGACCGAGCGGGUCCGAGCGGCACUGGAUCGGUUACUUUGAGAAAAAUAAGGUGUUCCAAGCAAACGUUCGUUAGUUCGUCCG
rnacentral:rRNA from 1 species